rnacentral:tRNA from 1 species
CAAGAAGUAGUUUAAAUAGAAUGUCAGCUUUGGGUGCUGAUGGUAGGGUUUAGUACCUUCUUCUUGA